rnacentral:rRNA from 1 species
UACGAGAGGCCCAAGCGUUAUUCGGAUUUACUGGGCUUAAAGAGUUCGUAGGCGGCGCAGAAAGUAGGGUGUGAAAGCCCUCGGCUCAACCGAGGAAUUGCGCCCUAAACUACUGUGCUUGAGGGACCUAGAGGUGAGCAGAACAGAUGGUGGAGCGGUGAAAUGCGUUGAUAUCAUCUGGAAUACCGGAGGCGAAGGCGGCUCACUGGGGGUCUUCUGACGCUGAGGAGCGAAAGCAUGGGGAGCGAACAGG